rnacentral:rRNA from 1 species
AGUGAACGCUGGCGGUAGGCCUAACACAUGCAAGUCGAACGGCAGCACAGUAAGAGCUUGCUCUUACGGGUGGCGAGUGGCGGACGGGUGAGGAAUACAUCGGAAUCUACUUUUUCGUGGGGGAUAACGUAGGGAAACUUACGCUAAUACCGCAUACGACCUACGGGUGAAAGCAGGGGAUCUUCGGACCUUGCGCGAUUGAAUGAGCCGAUGUCGGAUUAGCUAGUUGGCGGGGUAAAGGCCCACCAAGGCGACGAUCCGUAGCUGGUCUGAGAGGAUGAUCAGCCACACUGGAACUGAGACACGGUCCAGACUCCUACGGGAGGCAGCAGUGGGGAAUAUUGGACAAUGGGCGCAAGCCUGAUCCAGCCAUACCGCGUGGGUGAAGAAGGCCUUCGGGUUGUAAAGCCCUUUUGUUGGGAAAGAAAAGCAGCAGGUUAAUACCCCGCUGUCCUGACGGUACCCAAAGAAUAAGCACCAGCUAACUUCGUG